UCUCCGGGCUCCUCUCUCUAACUACUAUCAUCUGUGGUCAUGUGCUUUGUGGGUUUUAAAGGUACCAUGACAUGCCACCAGGUGUGGUGUGAUAAGCCGUUACAAAGCUGUUUUCAAAAUCUGUCUCUUCUGACAUCACUAGUGGGCGUGUCCACCUAGAUGUGUGCUGGAUAGAUCAGUCUACCAGCCUACCAAGUGGACUAUAGCAAACGUCGCUCAUCUAUCCGUCAUACAUCUAGGUGGACACGCCCACUUGUGAUGUCAGAAGAGGCAGAUAAAAAAAAGGCUUGUAACGGCUAAUCACAGUCCACACACGUACGUACCGUGAAGGGCGUGAACCUCACAUGUAGCGUCCGUGUACGAGCUGAGAAGCCCAGCUCCAAACAAUCACUUCACAUGCGUUUCCCAAGCCUGUUCCAAAGCCUGUGGGAAUCGAACCCUCGACCUUGAAGUAGUAAACGCGGUGCAGGGAGCAGAGCCGACCGCAGCUUCCCUACCAUUGAGCCGUGUGUAUUUUCAGCUUGUCAGAGACUCGUGAAAAAUGGUUUCCUUGCUCCAGGGUCAGUCGUCGCUGUUUUCCCAUCAUCGUGUUCUCAAAACGACGUCUUCGUCUUUCGACCGACCCACCCAAUCAGCUGUCCGCCCCAGGCCUGCCUCACGCCUGUCUGUCCGUCUGUCUUUCUGUCUGCCCGCCUGCAUGUCUGACCUAACCUCAAGCGCAGUCCUUCAUUGGGACGGCGUCUUCACAACUUGGUGGCUUCGUCCUGUGGUCCUUUCCCAGCGCUGCCCUCUGUCCGUGUGUGUGUGUGUGUGUGUGUGUGUGUGUGUGUGUGUGUGUGUGUGUGUGUGUGUGUGUGUGUGUGUGUGUGUGUGUGUGUGUGUGUGUGUGUGUGUGUGUGUGUGUGUGUGUGUGUGUGUGUGAACUCGCCCAACAAGCGUGUCCACACACACACCUCUAUGAUGCUGAGGUGCUGCUGAGGUCUUCAUCACGUCACAUGCCAUUGUGUCUCCCAGGAGGGUGUGUUUUUUCAUGUAGUAAUUCUGGUUUAUCAUGUCUCUUUUAUAACAUCUCUAUUCUUAGAACCCAGACACAUAAUUUUUUUUUUCACUCUCCGGACUGACCUCUAUACUAUGACGCAAUCCCAGUAACACAAAUGGUCACUUGCACGCACAAGUAUUCUCACACACACACACACACACACACACACACACACACACACACACACACACACACACACACACACACACACACACACACCGCCUGUGAUGGACUGUCGAGGACCUCUGCCUGUCAUCACCGUACUCUUUCUUUUUUGCCAGUAGGCCCCACCCUCCUUUGAUCUGGUCAGACCAUGUCUCGGACUGUGCCUUUUUUUAUUUUUUUCGGGUUGUCCUAAACCACCCUCUUGUUCCACUCCUCUGACCACAACCCUGGGGCAAACAAGGAACACACCUCAUCCAUAUUUGGGUAUCUCUCUCUCUCUCUCUCUCUCUCUCUCUCUCUCUCUCUCUCUCUCUCUCUCUCUCUCUCUCUCUCUCCUGUUCUCUACACUUUGAGCAGAGUUUGGGCAUAAAAUAAUUGUGGCACAUAUAAACACCUCUACUGAUGUUGGAUCCCACUCCUCUCCAAACGUGAUGUGAUUUACACCCAGUGCUGGUCACCCUAAUCAUGUGCUUGUGUUACUCCCUCUAUAAUACAUGUCCAUGUCCGUCUCCUGUUAUUCCCGGGAUUGGCACAGGCGUCCAGCGGUCUCUGGGAGCUUGUUUACGCGCCGAUUUUAGGAGUGUUGAUUAGGUGCAGGCUAUUUCGGAAGUGCUGGAGUGGCUUGGUUGAGUCGAAGAGUGUGAAGGUGUGGUUGUCAUGUGGCUGUAAGCAGGGCCUUUUACUGGGGGCCAACAUGGGGUCAUUUGCCCUCUUUCAUUCUCUCUCUCUCUCUCUCUCUCUCUCUCUCUCUCUCUCUCUCUCUCUCUCUCUCUCUCUCUCUCUCUCUCUCUCUCUCUCUCUCUCUCAUUCUUUUUUUUUUCGUAUUUGUAGACACAGCUGAGAUGCAUUUUUUUUUUGGUGUAUUCUGCUGCAACCUUUUUGUUUUCAGGCCAAAUGUACUGUCGUUGUGCUGUGACAAAUAUUUGGUCUGCGGAUUUCUGUUCGGCGGGUAACAACCAUCACGUAACAGUCCUCUCUUUUGUAUUCCCAAAGCUGUCAGCUUCGAUUUAUUAUCCUACACGAGUAAGACUCAAACUAACUCAAAACAAUUGACUAAUUGUUUAAGCCUAUGAAAAUAGUUAUUCUGCCAAACAAAACGUAAAAACCGCAUAGACUAAAAGAAAAAAAGAAGAAUUUGAAAGGGUAAAUAACUUAUACAGUGCUAUGGGCUGCUAGAGUUUCAAAAUACACAUUAUUUAUAAUAAGAAAUACAUUCAAUAUUUCCCUGGCUCAAUUAAACAAUAUUGAACGUACCCAAUUCAUGCUUAAUAGAGCACUCGGGUCGGCCAAUGGGGAAGCUGAUCUCUUGGCCGUUGCCGAGGCUUGACUUUUUUUGACCAAUAGAAUGUCGGUCAAUUAGGCUGGCUCACCACUGCCUGAAUUCCCCAGAGCGUGCCAAGUGUAGGGUACCUCGACAGGGCUCCACCGUGCUUUUAAGUGUAUUUUCAAAAACAAAACAAUAAAUACCAAAGGACCAUUAUGGCCACAUGCCAUCUGAAGAAUGUGCCAUCGGCUGGCUCGCUAUAAUGGUGCUGUGGUCGACAGGGUACAGAGUCACCCAAAGCACCUUAGGUGAUUAUAGGGGGCACCUCGAGUCCGGCCUCCCUGUGGUCUGGUCAGCCAUGGAGCUCGGCUAAACCGCCAGGGGCGGGAGGACAUGCCUACUUCCUGUCCCAGGGGAAGCCUUUUCGUCCAGGGCUCGCAUGUUUAGAGGAAAUGGAUGAUUUGCAUUCCUGUGUUUUAAGCAUGAAGUGGUCUACUCUGUUGUGGCAAUAGGAAUCGCGACAUUUUCCAGAGCCGAUCCAAAGUACAUUGUGAAUAGCGCUGAACACAAGCCGUGGAGCAAUGUUGCCUCCGUCUAUAAUGCCGUGGAUCAUUGGUAUGUGUCUGGCUAUCAAAGUGAUAAUUGAACCUCUAUCACCGAGGAAAUGGAUACGGAUACGCUUGUUUUGAUCUGGGUUGAUGUAUGUGUAAUGUAUUGACUAAAGCUGAAACCUCAGCUGUCAAAAGUUACCCAAAGUCAAACAUGCUUCACUGCGAGUGUACCCCCCCCCCCCUAUCAACCAUACAAAUCUCCUUUGAGUCAGUAUGAGAGUUUGCCGUUUAGUGCCUUAACCUGUGGCCUACGGACGUGGCACCUGCCGUCAACUUUUGAGACCCUUCAGGCAAAAGUGGCCUUAAAAGAACACUCAGGACUGUUUCCACUUUGGAACACCGCCUCGAGGUCAGAUGUUGAGUCACAUCCGUUCCCGCUAACCGAGAAAUUAAAAAGAAAAAAAAAUCCUCUUGAUUGUGUAGAGAGGCCUCAUGCACCGCUGCUCUGAAUAGAUUUAGAUGUGCCCUGUAACUCGCAGUUCCACGUAAUCAGCCCGCAAUCCUCAAACUUGACAUCAUAGUAAGAGGUCCGUUCACUAUCGGGGCUAAUUUCCUCGCCUCUUUCCUCGUCCCGGCCCUCCAUAUCCUUCUUUUGAUUUCCCUCCUCCACAGGCAAAUCUUCUCUCAUCCUCUGUAUUAUUCUGUUGUUGAUCUGAAUGUCAUUGUCUGUUGAUCUCAAAAAUGUUUUCCAGCGUGGUGGAGUUAGCACGCACAACCUUCUUUCCCGGUGACUCAUCCAUUAGGUAAAUUGUGAUUAGUCGAGUGGAUGUAUUCGGUAGCUCUGAUUAAUUGCGAUCAUUUUUCAGACCGUGACUUCAUGCGGUGCUCUUUAGGGACACCGUAAAAACUCAAUCUUCCAGGACAACCUCCCUCUUCCACCGCAGCGUUUUUUUCUUCUCCUCGUGCUCCCGUUCCCCCCGCACAGAAACCAAAAGGGCCUGAUUUAUUUGUUCAAACGUCGGGACGAUGAAAUAACUGGGUUCUUUGGGAAGCGGAAUAAACAUGUGGCUGUAUUUUUGAAAAGCAAGGGCUCAGCUGUGUCUUAUUUAUUGAAAGAAUAUGUUUGGAUAGCGUUUAUGGAGGUAAGCGGGGUGUAUGUUUGUGCAUGUGUGCAUGCGGUGGGGGGUGGAGUUCGCUUGCAUCAGGAGAGAUUUUUUUGUUUUUCUUUAUUUUAUAGUUUUGCGUAUUUCUUUUUUGCCUGAGGUGAUAAAAGGUCAGAAGUACAGGCUGAAUAAUAGGCCGGCUCUAGACAAAGAGCACAGAAGACGCCAGAACCGAAUUGGGUAACACAAUUCACCGUUCUCAGCCCCUAAAAAAACUAAGCCACAAGCUGCAAGGACGAAAUGGCUAGAGAGAAAAGAAAAAGGACCCAGAUACUGACACACUCCGUAAAUCCUCAUCCUCGGUGCAUCCCAGAAAUAUAUAUAAACCCCUCCGCUGGAAUUCUCUGUAAAGUCUCAUUUCCAACCCACUCCAGUGGCUGGGAGUGACCACUGGUAUGAUGUGAGAACAUUAGAGGCAGACAGGCCCACUGUGUUCAGACUCUGUUCCCCUCGUCUAGAUGCUCCCUUAAAAACCAUGACGCAAAUGCAAAGAGCAGACUGGAGAUGCUGGCUCCAGAAGCACCCGCUGUUCGGCCGUUCUCUUUAUGGGCCGCUCGCUGGAAGCGGGCCGGCUUCAACAGUCGUCCCGUUCAGGUCGACCCGUCUGCUCCGCGUUCGGGACGCCGCCCCACCGCCACUUCUCGAAAUCUCAGUCUUGGCUUCACACUCGCGUGCCAGUCUUCUAUCUCCCCUCGGUGCGUUCCGUUCCCUGUGUGUAACGAACCGCAAAUCUCCUGGACCGACAGGCAGUACUCUCCCGCUUAUUUGCCCUCCUGUCGCUCUUCUCGGGCCGAGCGGCUAUCACCGCGGCUCAUGUGUGAGAGACACCUGCGCACCUUGGCGCGGACGGAGGCCCGCUCGGUUACUCCAGUGCCAUCCAAGCUCAGAACCCGACACUCCAUAUAUCGUCUCCUCCCUGCGUCUCGUCUGUCUGGGCAGUUAGGCUUCGUUAGUAGCAGGGGAAAAGAAUGAAAAGACCCGGCCAGGAAUGCGACGGGCUCAAUGUCAAUCCCCCUAACUCCCUUGCACUAUCCCGGAGUUGGUCGGGUGCCCGCGAGGGGAGGAUUGGUUUUCCCAUUAGAACCGGUUGCCAUCGAGUGCCAGUGUGUGGAAAAAUGAAAGGGGGGGGUUGGGCAGGGGGGCCAUGCCAUCGGACCCUGCUCUGCCAAGCCCACCGUCUCCUACUGCCACCGCUGGCAGGACCAGGCGAUGCCAUUCUGCCACUACUGGGCCCUAGGUCCUCGUCUCCCCACAGCCACAAGCUGCCAGCGAAUCAGCUGGGCUUCUCAUUUGGAGAAACCGCAAAUUGCACUGGCUGGACAUGAGUGUUCUAACACAGCACUUGCUCGGUGUACAAAAUUCAUAUGACAUGUCCAACAUUUUCAUUGCUGAAGUUGCCAAGUUUUUUUUUUUGCCCUCCUCUCCUCUGUUUAAUGCAAUUCAGCUGUGUGUGUGUGUGUGUGUGUUAUUAUUGACAGGGACAUCAAACGCACCGCAAACGCGUCUCGAGUCAAUGGUAAUAUUUUAAUGUGUGUGUGUUUAUCGGGUGGGUCGGGUCAGAAGAAAGGGCGGUCCCUCCAGCGAGGGCGGCUGGCAGGGCGGUGUGCUCACAGGGCGGGCCACACGCACCACGGGAUGCACGGAGAAGUGCACAAAAGCAGCUGCUCUGAUCUCAUUUGUCUGGAAGGGCUCGACUUCGCCCGCCGCAGAUAGCGCACGUCACAAUCACUUUGCCUCGCGCCGUAAUUUAAACGCAGUCCUCGUUCCGGAGCCGACAUCGAGCGGGUAUACACGUUAACACAUGUGGCGGCUCACAAUGAGCGUGUUUGUGAUGUGCCCGGGAACAAUGCGGGGAUCUCUUGAUCUCGACGGAGAAAUAAAGGAAAGGUUUAGCCUCGGUGGACUUGGGAGGGAUCGAAAACGACAGUUCGCUAUCUUCUGUUUAUAGUGUGCCGCGACAAACGCGAGGAGAAAGUAACGACACUGGCAGGGGAUUAAUGGAAGCACUAAUGAGAUUACACGAGACACCACACAUGUUAGUGUUUUGCAGACGGAGUCAUGUACUUUAAAAGCAAUACAUCUUUCGUUUGAUGGAUUAGGUCUGGGUUUCAUUGGAAGCACCGGCACAGAAAGAUUGAGCACCGCGUUCAAAUACAAGGAUUAAAGCUGUGAGUGCUGGUAGUGUUCCACUGCCUCACCGCUGUGCGUGGCUCUGUGUGUGUUUGUGAAAGCAUGUUUUUAAGACGCGUGUGUACAUAGUUUAUGAAUGUGUACACAAGUCCUCCGCGGAGUGUCUCUACGAUGUGUGAAUAAGUGCUGCGUUACGAAGGGCACACACACACAGAGACAGACAGACAGACAGACACACACAUCCCGGGCCUGCUGGAGCGUGAACAUGUGUGGUGUAAAAACCUCAAAGCCUAACCUCAUUGGGCUUCGCCGCAUCUAAUCUGAUAUACAUCAAGGCCCAGUGAAUGACAUAAACACUUCCUCUCAUCGUGUGUAAUCACAGACAUUAAACACACCUUAACACUUCACUCCACCGCCCCCUUCCGCAAAUCCCACUUCUCCGCCCGGAGCCUCCGUCCCCGCCACCUAUACUCUCGGCUCGGCGUUCCCAGGGGUUGUUUGACAGGGUAGGGGGGGAGGGAAGGAGAAGGGGCGGGUGGGAGCUGAAUGCGGCCAUUGUUUUACCGCCUGCUCGCAGGGCUCUCCCCGACGAGUCCAGCGCUGCCACGGCGUCUCCACGGACCCCGGUGGAAAUGAGAAGUGACAUGUGAAAGUGCUGUUUUCAUAGCCAGGACGAGGACCAGGGAAAGCACUAAACAAUCCCAGGGCCAACACUGGAGCCUCGUGGCUCUUUCAUAUGACACAACUGUCUCUUUGUUUUUGUUUCGCGCUCUGCCGGGCUCACGCGCACGGACCCAUGUAGAGGCCCCGUGUACGUGUGUGAUGCGGUGUUGACUAACCCGCUUGGCGUCGUCCUGACACCCUGCAGUGAGGGUGGGCGAUCCACCUCUUGUGUACUCACCCCCGGGGGGAUACAGACGCAACCAGACGUGUGGUUGUGGGAGAGAGACACACACACACACACACACACACACACACACACACACACACACACACACACACACACACACACACACACACACACACACACACACACACACACACACACACACCAUGUACAUGAGAACCUGAAGACAGCAGUGUUUGAGCUGGGCUGUGGGCCGGAGUGUGUUUUCAUAGCGAGUGUGUGAGUGCGUAAUGACCGGUGCUAGCGUUGUGAUUCAUAGUAUUUUGGGGUUGGAAUUGGAUGGGUUAGGGGUGCAUAUCUGGCCGUUUCCUCCCAGGAAUUUCCCUUUCUGCAGCGUAAUUAUCAUGAUAAUGACCUGCAAUUUUCCUUUUCCUCAGUAUACUUGUUAAUUAAGGUGAGGGGGGUUGGUUGGAGAGUAGGGGGUCAACGCCGGGGUUAAGGUAACAGAAGGGGAAACCCAAGACUGGUUUCUUGGGGGCAGGAGGAAGGCCGGGCUGCGAAACAGGGGAAUACUGCUGGCUUGUUUUUCUAAUGAGUUAGCAAACGCAGGUGAUUCAAUGAAAACAGGUGGCGGGAACGUCAGGUCACACAGAGGGGACGAAAGCAACGGCCCGAGUACUGUAGAACCCGUUUAAAAGACUAUAUAUACAUAUAUAUAUUACAUUUUUACCCGUACCUCUGUUUUUUCUCUCUCUCCACCUCCUGGUUGGACGGGAAUCCCAAGUUCCUGCUUAUUCCAAGCGGCACCGCCUUAAACUUUUAUACAGGUGACUGUAACACUAAGUGGAUUUUCCGAUCAUGACCGAACCGUUUUCAGGCUAUUUUAUAUUUUUUCGGUCUUCCCCCGAUGCUUUGAAAACGUUGCCGUUUGGCGGACUCUUCGCAGAUCGCUCAUUAACGUAGUCUGCUUUAUUUCGGUAACAAUCGUAGGUGUUUACGGCGGCUCCCUGCCAUCCGAGUGAGGUAAGACGCAGUGACACGCUGCCACACGCCAGAUAUGAUUGUGGGGAUAAUUGUAUUUUAAUGCCCCAAUGAGGCCUGUUCCAAGUCACACUUGUAUCGCUCCCAUGCACCACAUCUGGUGGGGGGAACGGCGUCCAUGUGUUUCCACUACAGCGGUAUUUACACCGCGUGUGACACCGCACUCAGCGCGGUGGUCAACGGGGGCUGAGGGCCGCUGUUGUGCUCGUGCCGCUAAGUGACAUCAUGUCAAAACACGUCGACGGCAUGGCCCCUGUCGCACUUAAUUCGAGCCGUGAGGGAGAAAUGUUUGUUGAAUGCCACAGCGUUCGGGCCUCGGUCCACGGUAGGGUGUUUUGAAGGAGGGGUUCCGUGUGUGUGUGUGUGUGUGUGUGUGUGUGUGUGUGUCUGUGUGUUUUUAUUAAAUUAACCUCAGCACUUUUUAUUUUUGCUGCCGAACUUUUCCGGGCGCCUGGGCCUUUAUGCUUUUGCUGUAACUGCAUCUGGACGAUUCGUUUUGCUACGGUCUCCAAAGUGGCGUUAGGCACACCCAGAAAUCCCCACUCACCGCCCUCCCCCAACACACGCACCCACGCAUACACACACAUACACACACAUACACACGCACGCAGACGCACUUAUACACACACACAUACACACACGCAAACCCACAAAUACACAAACACAAUCGCAAUCCAACCUUAACCACCCACUCCUAGACGACUAACGAGGAAGGCCAAAGGACAGCCAACCAUCCGCUAAGGCAGUCAGACAGCCAGCCAGUCCAGGCAGUCAUCCAUCCACGGUGUCCCCCGGCCAGCUUGCAGCAAGAUGUCUAAUCAUCCAUUCGUCUAUCCGUCCCAUCGGCCAAUAGGCGCUGUCAAUUGCCUCAUAGGAGAUUAGCCUGUCAGGCGCACGGUAGGCUCCAGUCGCCACGGGACCUUUCCCAGAAUUCCAUCUGUCUGACUUGCAGUUAUCUACUGGAGUUUCACGGUGCGCGCUUCACACUGACGGCUCUCUGGAAGGCUUGGCUGCCGCUCCGCUCGGCUGCUCGUGAACGCACACCCCUCAACGCACAACCUCUGUCUCUGUCGCGCACUGCCACCGCACAAAGUGUGAGCCGUUUUGGUCAUCGCGCACCACUCGGCCGCCAGGUCCCGCACAUGUGCUGAGUCUGACCCCCCCCCCCCCCCGGUUCCUCUCAUCGCACACGGCGGAGGGAUGGAGGGCCGGUUGCGUUCGGGACCCGAGCCCAACAAUAACAACCAGGGGUAUUUAUACCUCAGGACCGGAGCGGACCAUGUGGAGCUAAUCACGCCAGGGAGGACGAGCGCGGCUCGCCUUACGGAUGAGUAAUCGACCACGGCCUCAACCGCCCGCCCUGCUCCACCGAGAUGACCCCCGUACCGUCCACGUCACUUAGUCCGGGCGCUCCUGUGCACUCCUGUGCACUCUUUUUCCUUCGCCGCUCUGUUCUGCACUACACAACAUGGGCAGAUUUUUAGUCUGUCUGUUUUUUAUGUGGUGGUCUUUUGAGUAAUGUCAGUUUCCGUCCAGAUCUGAGAAUAGCCUGAAGACAUCCCAAAUAACAAGCCCCUCUAAAUGGUGUUUUCUUUUUUCCCCCUCCACCGAGGGUUUGUAGUGGGCUUAUUCCUUAUUCCACAGGAGCAGCCCCUUUAGCCACUUGAUGGUUAAGUGGCGCCCGGUCUCUAAUUACUAACGUAGCGUAGCGCAUGCAUCAGGCUUAGUGAUUGUCCAGCAUCAAUCAUCCAGCCUCUUGAGCACUCUCUCUAGGGCUGUCUGGCAGCGUCUGGCCUCUCUUCAGCUGGUGCCCUCAGCCCCAUGUCUCGGUGAAAGACAUGCAACACAAGACGCACAAAAAAAAAGGAGAUUUAGGGCACAAGCUAAGCCUUUCGCCCAAGUCGCCUGAUCCUUGUCAAUGUUUCCUCUCACACUCAUGACCUCUCCCUGUAUACAACCUCGCAGUUUACGUAGCGAGCGCGCACACACACACACACACACACACACACACACACACACACACACACACACACACACACACACACACACACACACACACACACACACACACACACACACACACACACAAAA